GGGCCCAUAGCUUAGCCUGGCUGGAGCAUUCGACUGAUAAUCGAAUUUAAACACGAUACAGGUCGCCGGUUCAAAUCCGGUUGGGCCCA
rnacentral:tRNA from 1 species